GAGUUUGAUCAUGGCUCAGGACGAACGCUGGCGGCGUGCCUAACACAUGCAAGUCGAGCGAGUGGAUCUCCUUCGGGAGAGAAGCUAGCGGCGGACGGGUGAGUAACACGUGGGCAACCUGCCUCAUAGAGGGGAAUAGCCUCCCGAAAGGGAGAUUAAUACCGCAUAAGAUUGUAGCUUCGCAUGAAGUAGCAAUUAAAGGAGCAAUCCGCUAUGAGAUGGGCCCCGCGGCGCAUUAGCUAGUUGGUGGGUAACGGCUCACCAAGGCGACG
rnacentral:rRNA from 1 species